UCAAUUUCAGUCCAUAACAAUACGAAAAUAACAUAUCAGUCACUUAAAUGCUAUAGCAGUUUACAUAGCAGCUCCAAAAAUCCAAAUAGCAGUCCUUGAGUUUAUAUUAGAACUAAUUAGGCAAGGUUUAGUACUACUUCAUCAAAACAGUUAUUAUAGACAUGGUUUAAUACCCUUGCAUCAAAACAAUACCAAGGGAUGAGAUCUCUGUAUUUCUAAA
rnacentral:lncRNA from 1 species